rnacentral:rRNA from 1 species
UACGUAGGUGGCAAGCGUUGUCCGGAUUUACUGGGCAUAAAGAGCGCGCAGGCGGUCGAUUAAGUCGAAUGUGAAAGCCCCCGGCUCAACUGGGGAGGGUCAUUCGAUACUGAUCGACUUGAAGGCAGGAGAGAGAAGUGGAAUUCCCGGUGUAGUGGUGAAAUGCGUAGAUAUCGGGAGGAACACCAGUGGCGAAGGCGGCCAACUGGACGAAUACUGACGCUGAGACUCGAAAGCGUGGGGAGCAAACAGG